rnacentral:rRNA from 1 species
AACGAACGCUGGCGGCAUGCCUAACACAUGCAAGUCGAACGAGACCUUCGGGUCUAGUGGCGCACGGGUGCGUAACGCGUGGGAACCUGCCCUUAGGUUCGGAAUAACUCCCCGAAAGGGGUGCUAAUACCGGAUAAUAUCUUCGGACCAAAGAUUUAUCGCCUUUGGAUGGGCCCGCGUUGGCUUAGCUAGUUGGUAGGGUAAAAGCCUACCAAGGCGACGAUCCAUAGCUGGUCUGAGAGGAUGAUCAGCCACACUGGGACUGAGACACGGCCCAGACUCCUACGGGAGGCAGCAGUGGGGAAUAUUGGACAAUGGGCGAAAGCCUGAUCCAGCAAGGCCGCUUGAGUGAUGAAGUCCGUAGGGUUGUAAAGCUCUUUUACCCGGGAGGAUAAUGACAGUACCGGGAGAAUAAGCGCCGGCUAACUCCGUG